rfam:Triticum urartu cultivar G1812 contig1434671, whole genome shotgun sequence.
AGCUGAAUGUACCUAAAGAAUAAGGAUCGGCUAACUCCGUGCCAGCAGCCGCGGUAAUACGGAGGAUCCAAGCGUUAUCCGGAUUUAUUGGGUUUAAAGGGUGCGUAGGUGGCUUAAUAAGUCAGGGGUGAAAGACAUCGGCUCAACCGAUGCAGUGCCUUUGAUACUGUUGAGCUUGAAUUAUGUUGAAGAUGGCGGAAUGAGACAAGUAGCGGUGAAAUGCAUAGAUAUGUCUCAGAACACCGAUUGCGAAGGCAGCUGUCUAAACAUGGAUUGACACUGAUGCACGAAAGCGUGGGGAUCAAACAGGAUUAGAUACCCUGGUAGUCCACGCCCUAAACGAUGAUAACUCGAUGUUAGCGAUAUACAGUUAGCGUCUUAGCGAAAGCGUUAAGUUAUCCACCUGGGGAGUACGCCCGCAAGGGUGAAACUCAA